AUAUGUAAAUGAGUGUAGGGCUUUAUAAAAGUGUGACCCCGGAGCCAGCAGAUAUGUCACCUCGCUGGUAGAUGGAGCAAGAUGAACCCUAAGCCACUGUCCUGCUGCAACUCUUAAGGUUUAUUGAAGGAGAAUUUUGGAGGGUUCGGUAAAGGCUGCUCUACAGGUGUUGUGUGUGGGAUAUCAUCAUAUACUGUAAGUUUGUUAUACGACACUACAGUAUAGAUGAUGUACUAUACCAAAGCCUUAAUACAACUGGGUGAAAAAAGAACCUUGUACAACGCCCCCCAUAGGCUAAAAAUAAUAAGCAUUAUGCUUUGUAACACUGUGAUCUGAUAUUCCCCUAUAAUGACCAACAUAGCAAAAAUCUAUGUAGAUAAUAUGAUGUAGUUUACUUAUAACAAUGCAAAACUGGAAACUCUUCACCAGCGCACGGAUGAUGACAGAGGAGUCGGCGAUUAAACCGUUACCAUUACUGAGUUUUGUAAUGGUAAGGGUUCUAUCGCUGCUCCAACACUCACCUUCAAGACCCGCAGGACACACAAGAGGCCACGGAGGAGGAGAAGCUAUCCAGGGUUACAGAUACAGAAUGCUGUGCUAGGUCUAUUCGCUUCUCAUGUAAAUCUAAAUAAAGUCUUCUCAUGGUCUUA